rnacentral:rRNA from 1 species
CCUACGGGAGGCAGCAGUAGGGAAUAUUGCUCAAUGGGGGAAACCCUGAUGCAGCAACGCCGCGUGAGUGAAGAAGGCUUUCGGUAUGUAAAACCCUAUCAGCAGGGAAGAAAAUGACGGUACCUGACUAACAAGCACCGGCUAACUACGUGCCAGCAGCCGCGGUAAUACGCAGGGAGCAAGCGUUAUCCGGAUUUACUGGGCGUAAAGGGAGCGUAGACGGGAGAGCAAGUCUGAAGUGAAAUCCCAUGGCUUAACCAUAGAACUGCUUUGGAAACUGUUCAGCUGGAGUGCAGGAGAGGUAUGCGGAAUGCGUAGUGUAGCGGUGAAAUGCGUAGAUAUCAAGAGGAACACCAGUGGCGAAGGCGGCUUACCGGACCGUAACUGACGCUGAUGCGCGAAAGCGUGGGGAGCAAACAGGAUUAGAUACCCGAGUAGUC